rnacentral:rRNA from 1 species
UGGGGAAUAUUGGACAAUGGGCGCAAGCCUGAUCCAGCCAUGCCGCGUGGAUGAUGAAGGCCUUAGGGUUGUAAAGUCCUUUCGACGGGGAAGAUAAUGACGGUACCCGUAGAAGAAGCCCCGGCUAACUUCGUGCCAGCAGCCGCGGUAAUACGAAGGGGGCUAGCGUUGCUCGGAAUCACUGGGCGUAAAGCGCACGUAGGCGGCUCUUUAAGUCAGAGGUGAAAUCCUGGGGCUCAACCCCAGAACUGCCUUUGAUACUGAGGAGCUUGAGUCCGGGAGAGGUGAGUGGAACUGCGAGUGUAGAGGUGAAAUUCGUAGAUAUUCGCAAGAACACCAGUGGCGAAGGCGGCUCACUGGCCCGGUACUGACGCUGAGGUGCGAAAGCGUGGGGAGCAAACAGGAUUAGAUACCCCGUAGUC